rnacentral:rRNA from 1 species
GCCUGUUUAACAAAAACACCGCCUUUUGGGCAGCAUAAAAGGUCUGGCCUGCCCACUGUGAUUAAAGGGCCGCAGUAUAUUGACUGUGCAAAGGUAGCAUAAUCAUUAGUCUUUUAAUUGGAGGCUGGAAUGAAUGGUUGGAUGAGGUAAAAGCUGUCUCUUAUAAAUAGGUAGAAUUUAGCCUCUCAGUUAAAAGGCUGGGAUAAAGUUAAAGGACGAGAAGACCCUAUAGAUCUUUAUGGAACUAUAUGAAAUUAAAAGCUGAGUUAGAUUUUUAUAAAAUUUUCAUUUGGUUGGGGUGACAAGGAAAUAAAGUAACUUUCUUAUUACGAACACAGAUUAGUGAAUAAAAGAUCCAUAUAUUAUGAUUUAAAGAGUAAGUUACCUUAGGGAUAACAGCAUAAUCCCUCUGGAGAGUUCUAAUCGAUAGAGGGGGGUGUGACCUCGAUGUUGGACUAAGAUUUAGCUUGGGUGCAGUAGCCCGGGAUAAUGGUCUGUUCGACCAAUAAUAUCUUACAUGAUCUGAGUUCAAACCGGAGCUCC